ensembl:lncRNA
GCGACUUUCACUUUGAACCUGGUCAGGGGAAGGCUCGGGAUGAAGCAUGCAGUCAGAGUACCAGAGGUUAGGGGCCUUGUUCAUCUUUGUUUCUAACUGACAAAUUGGAAAAAACCCUAAACGUCCAAGAAGAAGAAAUUAAUAAAGUAAAUUAUGGAAGAGGGGAGCAGAUCACUGAGAUGUACACAUGAGCCCCAAACCCUGAGGAACUACUGGGUCUAUGUUUAAUCCCAAGUGUCCUUCCCUAUGGCUGAUGGGCGACAUUAAAAUAGAUUGACACCCAAGGCAGUGCAAUGUGCCAUGACCUUCACUGCUCACCUGCUGGAUUUUUGGAGAGGCCAUGAGAGAAUGUAUCAGCCAACAGCUCAGCAGUUAACUCUGGCCACACUUCUGGCCUGAAUCCUGCUAACUCCCACCAUGGGAAGCUUGGUUACAUUAAUUUAGAGUAAAAGACUUUAAGGUCCU